AAAAGGGCCGUCACCACAACUUUGGCUGCCAGGAUGCCCUUGCUUUGGCUGAGAGGAUUUUUGUUGGCGAGUUGCUGGAUUAUAGUGAGGAGUUCCCCCACCCCAGGAUCCGGGGGGCACAGCGCAGCCCCGGACUGCCCGUCCUGUGCGCUGGCCACCCUCCCAAAGGAUGUACCCAACUCUCAGCCGGAGAUGGUGGAAGCCGUCAAGAAGCACAUUUUAAACAUGCUGCACUUGAAGAAGAGACCCGAUGUCACCCAGCCGGUACCCAAGGCGGCGCUUCUGAACGCGAUCAGAAAGCUUCAUGUGGGCAAAGUGGGGGAGAACGGGUACGUGGAGCUGGAGGACGACAUCGGGAGGAGGGCGGAAAUGAAUGAACUCAUGGAGCAGACCUCGGAGAUCAUCACCUUCGCGGAAGCAGGCACCGCCAGGAAGACGCUGCGCUUUGAGAUCUCCAAAGAGGGCAGUGACCUGUCCGUGGUGGAGCGCGCCGAAAUCUGGCUCUUCCUGAAAGUCCCCAAGGCCAACCGGACCAGGACCAAAGUCUCCAUCCGUCUCUUUCAACAGCAGAGGCGCCCGCAAGGCAGCGCGGACGCAGGGGAGGAGGCGGAGGACGUGGGCUUCCCGGAGGAGAAGAGCGAAGUGCUGAUUUCGGAGAAGGUGGUGGAUGCCCGGAAGAGCACCUGGCACAUCUUCCCCGUCUCCAGCAGCAUCCAGCGCUUGCUGGACCAGGGCAAGAGCGCCCUGGACAUCCGGACUGCCUGCGAGCAGUGCCACGAGACCGGCGCCAGCCUGGUGCUGCUGGGCAAGAAGAAGAAGAAGGAGGAGGAGGCGGAGGGGAGGAAGAGGGACGGAGAGGGGGCGGGCGUGGACGAGGAGAAGGAGCAGUCGCACAGACCUUUCCUCAUGCUGCAGGCCCGCCAGUCCGAAGAGCACCCCCACCGCCGCCGCCGGCGGGGCCUGGAGUGCGACGGCAAGGUCAACAUCUGCUGUAAGAAGCAGUUCUUUGUCAGUUUCAAGGACAUCGGCUGGAACGACUGGAUCAUCGCUCCGUCCGGCUACCACGCCAACUACUGCGAGGGCGAGUGCCCCAGCCACAUAGCGGGCACGUCGGGCUCCUCGCUCUCGUUCCACUCGACGGUCAUCAACCACUACCGCAUGCGCGGCCACAGCCCCUUCGCCAACCUCAAGUCGUGCUGCGUCCCCACCAAGCUGAGGCCCAUGUCCAUGCUGUACUACGACGACGGGCAGAACAUCAUCAAGAAGGACAUCCAGAACAUGAUCGUGGAGGAGUGCGGGUGCUCCUAGAGCGCCGGCCGGGGCCCGGGGCCCGGGGCCCGGGGACGACGGCGGCCACGCGAAGACACGUUUACGGCCUCUGACCUAGGCGACCGCAAACAUGGAAAUGAACAAAAAUAACCAUAAACUAAAAACAAAACCUGAAACAGAUGAAGGAAGACGUGGAAAAAUUCCGUAGCCAGGGCUCGGCGAUGACACCGUGAAGGAGACGGGACUCGGGGGGGAGGGAGAGGCAGAACGUGGGGGGCNAGGGGGGGGGGGGGGGGGGGGGGGGGACGACCCUUCCUUUCUUCCUCCAGCAUCGGAGUGGGGACAGCAGUUGCUCCAACGGGAAUAUUGUCCUCUCCUUUUCAGUUCCCUGUCAGUGUGAGCCUCGAAGUCAGCUUGUCUGGUCUGCAGCCAUGUGGGCUGGCACAACCCAAAUAGCGUCUAGAAAGCCAUGAGUUUGAAAGGGCCAGUUAUAGGCACUUUCCCACCCAGUAACCCAGGUCGUAAGGUAUGUCUGUGUGACCCUCUCUCUGUGUAUAUCAGCCCAUGCACACACCUACAAAGACACACACACACACACACACACACACACACACACA
rnacentral:lncRNA from 1 species